CCUACGGGUGGCAGCAGUGAGGAAUAUUGGUCAAUGGGCGCGAGCCUGAACCAGCCAAGUAGCGUGAAGGAGGACUGCCCUACGGGUGGUAAACUGCUGGUAUAAAGGAAGAAAGUGAGGCGCGUGUGCCUUUUUGUAUGUACUUUAUGAAUAAGGAUCGGCUAACUCCGUGCCAGCAGCCGCGGUAAUACGGAGGAUCCGAGCGUUAUCCGGAUUUAUUGGGUUGAAAGGGAGCGUAGGUGGGUUGUUAAGUCAGUUGUGAAAGUUUGCGGCUCAACCGUACAAUUGCACUUGUUACUGGCAGUCUUGAGUACAGUUGAGGUAGGCGGCAUUCGUGGUGUAGCGGUGAAAUGCUUAGCUAUCAC
rnacentral:rRNA from 1 species